CCUGUCAGGCUCUCCAGAUUCCCGGGCUGUGUGCUGGUGAGAAAUCUUUGCUGCAGCGAGGACAGGAGUCCCCCGCGCGCAGCCCAGUGGCAGAAGAGGGCUAGGCUGAGAGGGAAGGAGAGGACUGGAGAGGAGGGAGGCAGCCCGUCCUCCCCGCGAGCCUGCAAGGAUGCGGCAGCGGACCGGGGGCAUGGGGAGGCACUAACCCCCCGAGCCCCUGAUCCGGGCUUGCCGAUCCGGUGCGCGGGCCAAUUUCCUGCCAAGUGCAGCCAAGCAGCAGAGGCGCCUGGAAAGCCACGAGAGGGGCGCAGGGGGUGCCCAUCCCCAGAGUCGGUUCCUCUGCGAAUCGGGGAAGAAGAGAGGAGGGAGUCCGUGAGUGGUGAGGAGAAGGAAAAACCUGUCUCCAGUCUGGCUGGGGAGCGUCGGAGAGACCAGGGCGCUCGGCGCCAUCGUCUUCAAUGCCUCUCUGAACAGCCUUGAGGAAGAGUGUGAGCGAAAGAGAGAGGAGAGAGCGCGCGCCAGGGAGAGGAAAAAAGAAGAUGAGGAUUAUUUGCAGACAGAUUGUCUUGUUAUUUUCCGGAUUUUGGGGACUCGCCAUGGGAGCCUUUCCGAGCAGCGUGCAAAUAGGUGGUCUCUUCAUCCGAAACACAGAUCAGGAAUACACUGCUUUCCGACUAGCAAUUUUUCUUCAUAACACCAGCCCCAAUGCGUCGGAAGCUCCUUUUAAUUUGGUACCUCAUGUGGACAACAUUGAGACAGCCAACAGUUUUGCUGUAACAAAUGCCUUCUGUUCCCAGUAUUCCAGAGGAGUCUUUGCCAUUUUUGGACUCUAUGACAAGAGGUCAGUGCAUACUUUGACCUCAUUCUGCAGCGCCUUGCACAUCUCCCUCAUCACACCAAGUUUCCCUACAGAGGGAGAGAGCCAGUUUGUGCUGCAGCUAAGGCCCUCCUUACGAGGAGCACUCUUGAGUCUGCUGGAUCACUAUGAGUGGAACUGUUUUGUCUUCCUGUAUGACACAGACAGGGGAUACUCAAUACUCCAAGCUAUUAUGGAAAAAGCAGGACAAAAUGGUUGGCAUGUCAGUGCUAUAUGUGUGGAAAAUUUUAAUGAUGUCAGCUAUAGGCAACUUUUAGAGGAACUUGAUAGAAGACAGGAGAAGAAAUUUGUAAUAGACUGUGAAAUAGAGAGGCUUCAAAACAUACUAGAACAGAUUGUCAGCGUUGGAAAGCAUGUUAAAGGCUACCAUUAUAUCAUUGCAAACUUGGGAUUCAAAGAUAUUUCUCUUGAGAGGUUUAUACACGGUGGAGCCAAUGUUACAGGAUUCCAGUUGGUAGAUUUUAAUACGCCAAUGGUAACCAAACUAAUGGACCGCUGGAAGAAACUAGAUCAAAGAGAGUAUCCAGGAUCUGAGACUCCUCCAAAGUACACUUCUGCUCUAACUUAUGACGGAGUCCUUGUAAUGGCUGAAACUUUCCGAAAUCUUAGAAAGCAGAAAAUUGAUAUUUCAAGGAGAGGAAAUGCUGGAGAUUGUCUGGCAAAUCCUGCUGCUCCGUGGGGUCAGGGAAUCGACAUGGAGAGGACACUCAAACAGGUUCGAAUUCAAGGGCUGACAGGGAAUGUUCAAUUUGACCACUAUGGACGCAGAGUCAAUUACACAAUGGAUGUGUUUGAGCUGAAGAGCACAGGACCUAGAAAGGUUGGUUACUGGAAUGAUAUGGAUAAAUUAGUCUUGAUUCAAGAUGUACCCACUCUUGGGAAUGACACAGCAGCUAUUGAGAACAGAACAGUGGUUGUAACCACAAUUAUGGAAUCCCCAUAUGUUAUGUACAAGAAAAAUCAUGAAAUGUUUGAAGGAAAUGACAAGUAUGAAGGAUACUGUGUAGAUUUGGCAUCUGAAAUUGCAAAACAUAUUGGUAUCAAGUAUAAAAUUGCCAUUGUUCCUGAUGGAAAAUAUGGAGCAAGGGAUGCAGACACAAAAAUCUGGAAUGGGAUGGUAGGAGAACUUGUUUAUGGGAAAGCAGAAAUUGCUAUUGCCCCUCUGACAAUCACUUUGGUACGAGAGGAGGUCAUUGACUUCUCUAAGCCCUUCAUGAGUUUGGGCAUAUCUAUCAUGAUCAAAAAGCCUCAAAAAUCAAAACCGGGAGUGUUUUCCUUCUUGGAUCCUCUGGCAUAUGAGAUUUGGAUGUGCAUAGUCUUCGCCUACAUUGGUGUCAGCGUGGUCUUGUUCCUAGUUAGUAGGUUCAGCCCCUAUGAGUGGCACACAGAAGAGCCAGAGGAUGGAAAGGAAGGACCCAGCGACCAGCCUCCCAAUGAGUUUGGCAUCUUUAACAGCCUGUGGUUUUCCCUGGGUGCUUUUAUGCAGCAAGGAUGUGACAUUUCACCCAGAUCCCUCUCAGGUCGAAUCGUUGGAGGUGUGUGGUGGUUUUUUACACUCAUCAUUAUAUCAUCUUACACUGCUAACCUGGCUGCUUUCCUGACGGUUGAGCGAAUGGUCUCCCCUAUAGAAAGUGCAGAAGACUUGGCCAAACAGACAGAGAUUGCCUAUGGAACGCUGGAUUCAGGGUCGACAAAAGAAUUCUUCAGAAGAUCAAAAAUAGCAGUGUAUGAAAAGAUGUGGACCUACAUGCGAUCAGCAGAACCGUCAGUGUUCACUAGGACUACAGCUGAGGGAGUAGCUCGUGUCCGCAAAUCCAAGGGCAAAUUUGCCUUUCUCCUGGAGUCCACUAUGAAUGAAUACAUUGAGCAGCGAAAGCCAUGUGACACGAUGAAAGUGGGAGGAAAUCUGGAUUCAAAAGGCUAUGGAGUAGCAACGCCCAAGGGUUCCUCAUUAAGGAGGAGGACAGAGGAGAACUAACGAGCUCCAGGACCAAGGUAAGAGGGGAGUUUUCUUUCAAAAGAAUGGGUUCCAUCCGUUUGAAGGAAACCCCUCCCCCACCAAUUUUUUAAUCCCUUUUCCUUUUUACAUUUAUAUUUUUUAACCCACCAGCAUUAGGAAACCAGCUUGCAAUCCGUGCCUAAUAGUUAUUUGAACAUUCACUUAUAAAUGUGAUAGCAGGAAAAAAAGUAAAACCUUUACAUAAGUCAUACUAGUUAUUUGCUAAUGCAUUUACGUUUUCCAUCAUCAUUAAUGAUUAGUUCAAGUUUUCCAUUAAGAUUGAGAUUCCUACCUAGGCCUCAGGAAAUUGUUUUCAGCUGCUAAUUUCUCCUUAUGCAGAAUAUCUGCAGUUAUUAUAAAUCAAAUUCUAAUGGGUGAGAAGUCACAAAAUAUUGAAAUUAAAUCUAAAGCAUUCCUACAGAAAUAUGUCAUGAAGAAAUGCUUUAAUAAGCUGCUGAUAUAAUUUUAAUGGUAUAUAUUUUGAAAUAUGGUAAAGCUGGACUUUUGGUAAGAAGUAGUAUAGACUUAGUAAGAUUAUUAAAGUACCAUAUGAAAACUGUGGUUAGAAAAACAAAAGGAAAAGGAAGAAAUACUCUCUUACACAUUGUUUCUUCAUGAUUAUACACCCAGCUCUCUUUGGUUCUGCUUUUAAUGGUUUCUGAUGUAACAUCUCAUUUUUAUGUUGCUGUCCAUGGACAUCAGUAUGCCCUAGCUUUGGUAUUCUUUUAAAUUGGUCCUUCCAUAGUUGAGAACCCAAGCAGAACAAGUGAGAGAAUUUGAAAGGCAUCUAGAAUUUAUAAGAAAGAUAGACCAUAUGGAUUAUGAAAGGGACUAGCUUCCAGAUCCUGUUCAGCAAUAAUUCUUAUCAGUGCCCUCCAAAGAGGCCAGAGGUUGUAUGACUUAAUUAGAUGUUGGAAAAAUCUUGGUUCUGUAUCCAGUGCUCAAAGCUCUGGCACAAGAGAUCCUCUGCGGUUGUCGAAACUCCUGCUAUCAAGGGCACAGAGGAAGGGAUCCCAGAGAGAGCUGAACAAGUUCAGGAGAGGUCACAACUUGCAGGAAGCUGACAGCUGAAGAACUCCCCCAAUUCAGCAUUACCCAAGCUUUUCCAUUUGGUACAAUCAGAAAAAUAAAAUUUGAAGCACUGACACACUAUGUAUUAGCAAAUGUCUAUUGCAAAUAUGCUUUGAGUGAGUGAUUCAUUGUCAGUAUGUAUAUCCAUAUUUCAAAGCAUCUUAUAGGUAAAAUAUAAAUAUUGUACAUAAAAUAUAAGUAAAAUGUUUCUAACUGAAAAAAGAAGUCUUAAUAUCAGGUAGCUGAGACCCUUGGACUCAAGAAGAAUAUGUUAGUUUGGGAGAAGAAGUAUACAGAAAAAAUAAUGCUUCAGCCAAUUUGUUGUAAGAAAAUAGUCAUCAACUUUCAGAAAUAUACUCCUACCAUUCUCUUUUUUUUUAAGUCAAAAGAGGCAGCAUCCUUUUUUUUUAAGAUUUAUUUACUUUUUUGAAAGAGUUACACAGAUAGAAAAGGAGAGGCAGAGAGAGAGGUCUUCCUGGUUCACUCCCCAAUUGACUGCAAUGGCCAGAGCUGCGCCAAUCUGAAGCCAGGAACCAAGAGCUUAUUACAGGUCUCCCACAUAGGUGCAGGGGCCCAAGGAUGUGGGCCAUCUUCUACUGCUUUCUCAGGCCAUAGCAGAGAACCAUCAGAAGUGGAGCUGCCAGGACUCAAACCGGCACCCAUAUGGGAUGCUGGCACUGCAGGCAGUGGCUUCACCUGCUACACCUCAGCCCCGGCCCCCUUCUGCCAUUUUCUUUCAAAUGUGUAGAAGCCUGGAAAAACCUUAAAGUUGCAAUGUUGGGAUAUAUUUUUGUUCAAGACUAGUCUCUUUGGCAGGAAUAAUAGUAAUCAUGCAAUUAGGAACAUACAGGAAAGGACACAUGCAAAAUAAGAAUUUGACUUUAAUACCGAAGCAUGCUAUUUAUAUAGUCAUAUUGCAAUACUCAACAAAUCCAGAAACCUAAGAAUUGAACUUUUAGCACAUACACAUUUUUGUUGUCAUAUUAUCAGAUAAAACUUAGUUUUGACUUACUCACUGACUCUUUUAGUAAAAAGCCCAGGAUAUAUUUGAAUCGCAUUAUGCAUUCCUGAUUUAUUCAUUCCUGGAUUUUAAAAUGUCAGGUAUAUGGAAUGUCUGCUUAAGCAAUCACAUGAAAUAAGCAAAAUUGUCACAAUAUUUUAGUGUUAGUACUGUUUAUGUUAGUACUACUUAGAAUUUGAUAUCUACAUACACAUUAGUUAUGUCAGAAGAUUUGCUGUAUACUUUGAAUUUUUAUGAAAUAUAUAAUUGUGAUGUCAUUAAUGGAGAGACUUGGUGGUAGUUCUAUGAUUACUUAGCUCUUUGGAUAACCUAAAAUUGAGAAGCUAACUUUUUUUUUAGUUUUGUUGCUUAGCAAAGUGAAAAAUAUUGAUUUUUCUAUUAAUGUCACUCAAUUUAUUAGGCAUAUUAAAAAUACCUCACAGAAGUAUCCCAAUUGGUAACAUAAGACAUACUGAACUUCUGAUAAAGAACAUGUAACUGAAAGACAAUAUGAUAUGUUUUAGCAUUAACACCAACAGAAGCAUACAUUGGUUAGAUUGUUUUAAGACUUUAAACUUUUUUUCUGAGUUGUUUAAUAAAAUAAAUGAACUGUAGUAUACAUGUUUUGAAUUAAUAUGAGCCCUGUUGCUCUCAAAGAUAAGCAGCUUUAUGUCUUCACUUAGAAAUCAUAAACUUAAAACCUUUAGAGAUCUAAGAGCUUAGAAUUCUUAGGCAUCAGCCAUUUUCAGGAUAACAGAAAAGCCGCGUGGUCUCCUGGUUAUGAGCUCCCUAUGUAGUCUUGAACUUUGAUGGAGCUUGUAAUCUAUAUUUCUAUAAGCACUAUUAGUUUAUUAUCCCUGCUUCUAUAAGAAGCACUAUUUUUUUUAUCAAUUAAGUUCCUUUUUCUAUUUGUAUUGUUCUUCUACCUAACCAAAAUGCAUGCUAAAAAUAAGAUAGGUGAAAUAAGAUCAUAAAAGUAACAUGCAAAUAUUGGCCUACUACUAAAGAACCUGAAACCUUAAAUACGAGAAGAAAUUUGAAGCUGUGAUUUUUUUUUACUAUCAGGCACUUGAUAGCAAAUCUAAAAUAUUUGUGUAUGAAGUUUAACUAAACCUAUCAAAUCAGUUGAAUGCCUAUUAAAAUAUAUGGUAAAUAAAUCAAAUUAAACCAUAGAGUUGACAUUUAGUAUGUGAUGAUAAUAAAUGUGAUUUUUACUUUCUAAUUGAGCUGAAUUACAAAUUCAAUAACAGAAGAAAUAUAUCUAAAGGCAAUAAGUCUUAUUUGUUAAAUUUAAUUUGUUUAAAAUUGACCUAUAAAAACCUAAUUGUCUGGGAUUUUCAUCUUUAAGUUUAGUUUGGAAUAUAUUUUCCUUGAUAUUAACAACAAAGUUGAACUUUUUUUUUUUUCAUUUAGUGUUCUUUCCUUGUCUGGCUAUACAAAGAGAAUUGGUGACCCCUUUAUUUUAACCGUUUAUGAUCUCAUGGAAAUACCUUCUGAGAUUAUAUUAUUCAUACAAUGAACCUAAUUUUGCCUGUCAUUAUUCAUAAAGAUAUCCAGUAUCAAUAUUUUAUAUCCCUCUUACCAACAUUUAAUAUUUUUGAACUAUUUGUUUUAUUUUGUUUUAAAAUGCACACCAUGGCAUUUCUGUUAGGUUCAUAGCUAAAGCAUGCUAUUUUUUUCACUAGAAUGCAUUGCUUACAAAAUAGCACCUCAAACUAAUUCACUGUGAUAUCAAUACUACAUGUGGUUACCACAUAGCAACUGUAUUUCUCUCCCUGUGUUAGGACUGAGAAUAAUAAAAAUUAUCAUUCAUAAGACAUAGUUGAUAACUUCCAAGAUGGGAAAAAAGCUAUAUACAGAUAACUUUGUAAAGUGUCAAAUAACUCAAAGCAAAUAUGAGUGCUUCAGAUAGGAGAUGUUAUACUUGCAAAAGCAGGAGAUAAAUAGGAUUUGGAGAAUCUGGGAAAGACCUCAUUAAGAAGGUUCGAGUUUAUCAGGUUUAUAAAUAUUAUUUGAAUGAAUAAAUCAGUGAAUGAUUACCGGAAAAUAAGAAAUUUACCAAGGCCAAGAUGAGGUGAAAAAAGGAACUCCAAGUGAAUUUUCUAUCAUGAGUUUGCAGUCAGUUGUGAAUAAAGUAUCUUUGGUGCUGAAUAGACAUCAGUGGUAGACCGACUCAGGUCUAACUGAGCCCAGCUGCAGGUCUAACUCAGGUCUAACUGCAGAUCCACCUUUGCCAUUCACUGGCCUGGCAACUUGAGGCCUUACUUUCUUCUUUCACAAAAUGCAGAGUAGUCCCCAGUGAGAAUUUUAACAGAGUUCACAGAGAAUAUUAACAUCUUGACAUGAUGUCUACCACAAUAAAACAUAGUGAAAUUUCACUUUUAGAAGUGCAAAGUGAGUUGAUGUGAUUUCAGCCUUGAAUGUCUGAAAAGUUAGAAUGAUGUCUCAGAGGCAGUCGUGAAUCAAGAAGGCUCCUGCCAUGCGCUAUAAACCAGCAAGAAGCAAGGUUACUCUGAGUAGCAAAGAACAGGGUGAUAGCCAGUAACUCUGUCUUCUGGAGAUAAAAACUUUAACUGAUGUGAUGCCAGUAGAAUAGAAACGAAAAUAUAAACUUGGGAGACAUUAUUCAAAAAAAGUUAUUUAGGGGUAAUUUGUUAAAGGAAAGGAAAAUUCAAGGAUGAGAUUGAGUUUUUCUGGUUGAGUCUUGUUUUUUUUUUUAAGCAUUAUUAUUAUUAUUUUUAUUUUAUUUUAUUUUUUGACAGGCAGAGUGGACAGUGAGAGAGAGAGACAGAGAGAAAGGUCUUCCUUUGCCGUUUGUUCACCCUCCAGUGGCCACCGCGGCCGGCGCGCUGCAGCCGGCGCACCGCGCUGAUCCGAUGGCAGGAGCCAGGAGCCAGGUGCUUUUCCUGGUCUCCCAUGGGGUGCAGGGCCCAAGCACCUGGGCCAUCCUCCACUGCACUCCCUGGCCAUAGCAGAGAGCUGGCCUGGAAGAGGGGCAACCGGGACAGAAUCCGGCGCCCUGACCGGGACUAGAACCCGGUGUGCCGGCGCCACAAGGCGGAGGAUUAGCCUAGUGAGCCAUGGCGCCGGCCAAGUCUUGUUAUUUUAUAAUUUGUUUUCAAAGUUUUAUUAUUUCUAUGUAAAAGUUUCUGAUAUGCUAUUCUGGAACUUUCUUGUGAUGCUCUUGUUGGGGAUUCAAGAUCAUAUACCUUAAAAUAUUAAAGCUAAAAUCAUUAAGAAUUCCAUGUAUAUUAAAGUAGAAAUCCGUCACCUUGAGAGAAAAUAAAUAUCAUCAUCUAGGUAAAUCAAGACAGCAUAUACAUUAUUGAUAUUGCUUUUUGAAGAAAACUAUCUACUGCACUUCAUUCUUGGAUAUUUGGAAACUAUCCAUUCAGUUAACAAGAUCACCUGUCUUUCAAAUUUUAUCUCAACUCAAGGGAUAUUUAGCAUGAGAGAAUAGAAGUUGCCAACUGACUUAAACAGGUAAUACAUGAGUGAGAGGGUUCACAAAGCUUAAUGAGGGAUAAUCCCUGCCAGACUUGACAAACUUCUUGGGAAAAACAACAUAGGAGGGAUGAAUAACACUUUUAACUACUCAGGAAAGGGACUGAAAGGAAGUAAAGUGUAUUAUAGCACUAUGGGAAAGAGCACUGGACCAGAAGGCAGAAGACCUGCUGCCAGCUGGGCUUGAUGGACAAGUCACCUAACUUUCAUUAGGCCCAGUGACCACAUCUGGAAAAGGAGAAGAUUUAAGGUGAUUUCUAACCCACGUUUUCACUGAAACAUUCUAGGAUGCUUUACUUUUAAAGCAAUCGGUAAACAUCUUUAGAAGCUAACAUGAUGGAAAAGUAAACAUGAUCCGUGGAAUGGCUUAGAAUUCUGGAACUGGUAGAAGGAGAAUAAGCAUCAUGGUCUAGAUGAUGCAGGAAUCCAGUCAGGGAUGGGACUGAGUCCACCAAGUGCCUGAUGGUCCAGCCAAGGCACCUGCUUGACAGGCCCAGCAUUGUUGCACAAUUCCAGGCUGGGAGCAUGAUGGCAACCAGUUCCUAUAUUAUUGAAAUUAUACUUGAGAAUAAUAACUUGAAAAAUGACUAACAUUCAGAGAUACCACAUAAACUAAAGAACUUCACAUUCUAGGUAGCUGUGGUCUCAUCUUGAAACAAGGCUAACUUUUAUAUGACUUGAUCAGAGAUAGUGACAACAAGAAGGAGGUGGCUUGGAGCAGGAAUUUCACCUCAUACAUUUGAAAACAGGACCCCAAAAGGUCACCACAUAUAAAUUAAAUAAUUUAUUUAAUAUGAAUAAUUGAUAUUUCCCCAACAUAGUAUUAUAUAAUAAUAAUUAAAAGUAUCUUUUGACUAUGUAGAUAAAUUCUUUAUUGAUUUUACAUGGUCUUCUAAAAGGUUUUACACAGGAUGUGUUUGCAGAAUGAUCACACAUUGAAGCUGGUAUCUUGGAAGUCUCUUCUCACCAAUUCGCAGUCUUAAGAGUUCUCUAUGAAAAUUCUGGAGCCAUCAUGCCUUCAGAAAUGUUUUCAUUUCUCUUACCUUUAAUGAAUAUACUUAAAAUAAUCAGUAAUUAAUUUUAAAAUAAAUGUAGAAUCUAGAACAAAUUUUUUUUAAUUCAUAUUCACGUUUGCCCCUCUAAGGUCUAAGAAUCCCCAGAAAUUAUAUGCCAAUCUGUAAUUUUGUGUAUUUGUGCCUUUCUCCUGAAAAAGUAACUGUAAUUUUUAUUGGAUUCUAAAAGAGGUCUAUUAUCCAAAACAGGUUAGAAAAUUCUUGUCUAUGAUCUAAAAUUGAUAAAAUAAUAAAACCAAAUUGCCUGAAGUAUUUGUAUUACCUAAAAAACACUUAACAUUAAAAUAUAAUUACAUUUUCCAUGCUUUAACAAUUAUUGGCAGAUAUCCUCAGGAAAAUUACAAUACUUCUUCAAAUAAUCACAUUCCUCAGACCCAGUUCGCAAAUAGGAAUUUGUCAUGGAAUUUCCAAAGAAGAUGCAGCUUAGAGACAAUUAGUGGAAGCUAGUCCAGUACAUAGUGAAUUUAUUCAGUUCUCCUUGCUCACUUGAGAUAUGAAAUGCAGACCUCCAUACUAACUUAAUAGCAGGCAUGCCAUCCAAAUCCUGAAGCAGACACUAAAUCCAUCAAAGGGGUUUUCAGAUUCUCAUUAUGAAUCAAGCUGUAUCUGAAUUUCUUUCCACUUACAGAAAAUUUUUCCCUUCGAAGUUUGAUAUUGUUAUCGAUCACCAGUGCCAUUUUAUGCAAAUCUUACAAUUGCAUUAGCAAAAUGGAGUGAAAACUUAAUACCUUUUCCAAAAACUUUUACAUAUAUAAAGAGAGAGAGCAAUUUAGCCCAAAUUCUGCCACUGGAAAUGAGUGCUCAAAUCCAAUGGAGCAAAAAGAGCCUUGUGCUUGUCUACUGGAAGGAAUAAUUUAGAAAGAAAAGUAAUAGCAUGGCUACAAGUUAAAUUGAAAACUUAGUGGAGCAUUGAUAAUGCUGAGAACUGGUUACUCUUCCAGGCCUAAAUAGCAGAUAGAAGGUAGAACCAUGAAUGCAAAUGUCUUUCUUUAGGAUCAGACAAACUCAGCUCUGAACUCUUUAUAAUUUGACAGCCUAUUGAUUUUUAUUUACUUUUCAUAUUUUUUCUGAUUGAUAAAAUAAGUAUUUUUCUCAGCAGAUUAUUAAUUGGCUUUACACAAAGUUCUGGAGUUUGUUGUAAAUUCUUGUUUCCUUUUGCUAAUGUGCUCUAUUCACCAUUAUCUGGAAGACAUUAACUAAAUUACAAAAAGCAAAUCCCUAUGAUAUUUGUUCCUCUCUACCUAUCUCAUCUUAGGUGGAACAAACUUUCAUGCAUGCAACUCUUGUGACAAUACUGAAAAUGCAGCUAUCACUGAAUAAUGGAAUGAGAGUUAUUUCUUAUUUUUCAUGAAAGUAUUAUUUAUUAGGAUGACAUAAAGUUUAAAGCAAAUGAAUUUUCCAAUCUGGAAUUUGCUUGAUUCUAAGAAAAUGAUAUAGUAAAUAUGUAGUAUUGUGGAAGAUUAAAAAAUAAUAUUUUUCUAUUCUUGCAAAAAAUCCAAAAAUGACUUUUCUUAAGGUCUCUAAUACUUGUUUGAAAAACAACAUAGUUGCCAGCAAUGGAAUCCUUUUUAAAAAGCACAAAGCUAUAUACAAACUUUUCUUUAAAAAUGUACCAUUUAAGAGGACUCAAGACUAUUCAUAGUCACAUUUAUUUAAUGCAAUCUGGGAAAAAGACUCACCUUAUCUAUGUAAAUAUGUGUGAAACAGUAAGUUUCCUCUCUAGAUCACUGAGAGUUCUAUAAACUUCCUGCAAGUUCUAUCUGAUGAGUUAGACCUUCUAAUUGAUGCGUUACUCAUGCUUCUCUGCCUGACCUGUUCCCUCAAGUAAGACAGAACCUGUGUAGGAGCCAAAUACAGCACAUGUUCUCCAGCCUGUGACCAGAGGACAAAACCAAAUGGACCAAAGCAAUCCAAAUAAUCAGAAACAAUGAUGUCUCUCUGAUCCCUAAGAAUAACUUCUAGAUUCUGCCUCUUCCUCAAAUUGUAUUUCAUCCAACGUAGAAUAUAUAUUUUGGAUUUAAUAAACAAUUGUUUAAAGAUUUAUUUAUUUAUGUGAAAGGCAGAGUCAUAAAGAGAGAGAGAUCUACCAUCAGUUGGUUCACUCCUCAAAUGGCCGCAACAGCCAGGACUGGGCCAGGACAAAGUCUGGAACUUCCUCUAGGUCUCCCAUGUGGGAGGCAGGGACCCAAAUACUUGGGCCAUCUUUUGCUGCUUUCCCAGGCACACUAACAUGGAGUUGGAUCAGAAGCAGAGCAGCUGGGACACCAACCAUUGCCCAUAUGGGAUUCUGGCAUUGCAGGUGGUGGCUGAACCUACUGUGCCACAUAUCUGGCUCCCUGAAUUAGCAACUCUAUAAGAUAUUUAUAUUAUACAAUAAUUGAGAAAGAUUUUUCAUCUGUUGCUAAUUAGCAAAGUAUCAUUGUACAUUAUAGGGAAUCUUGAAUUGAUGGGGGAAUAUAAAGAACAAAAUGGAACCCAAAUUAUUCAUAAUCUCCCCAUAGUGACUUAUUAUGUUUUAUAUUCAUUUAUAUUAAAUAUACAUAGCUUAUUCUCAGAUCAAGAUCCAAAUGAAUGUGCAUAUUAUUUAUUUUUUUCAUUUAACAUCCAAAGUAUUUAACAUCAAAAGUAUAAAUUACCUGUCAAGGUUUUUGCUAAUUUUAAAGGAAUUUUCUUGUUUCUUUACACAAUUUAGUCUUAGUUCACACAAUUUUUUAUGUUUUUAGAAAAUAGUAUUUAUUGAGGACAAUUAAAAAAUCCACCUAUUCAGGUAAAUAUUCUGGACAUUUUACACCUGAUACAUAUUUUACACAUUUUAUAUAUAUGCACAUAUAUUUAGAUAUUAUAUAUUCACAUAUAAAAUAUAUUUACAUAUGCAUAUACAUUUUUAUAAGGAGCAUGGUGUGAAGAAUAUCCCAAUAAAGACAGCACAAGCUUACAACUGAGUAGAAUUUUUCAAGUGUAUAUAACUAAUGGAUACUUUUUUAUGAGGAUAGUAAUGCACUAGCCCCAUUACUCAGCAGUUAAGCAAUACAUUGUAUUGCUUCAUACACUACUGACAUAUAAUAUUCAUCCAGUUAAGUGCAAUGGGAUAUAAUUUGUUUUAAUCAAACUAAAAACAACAUUGCAAAUUCUUUCUGCAAACUAUACUUGCCCUGCAUAUCCUGUGUGCAGAUGUUGACUAAAUCUAAAGGUUUGUAUCAUUAGUCCUUUAUAACAUCCACAAAUCUAGGAAAUCAUAAAAAUACAAAACUUUACUGAACUUAAGCUUUUAAAAUUUGACCCACUUACUUAGAUAGACAUCAUUUAUAACAAUAUCUUAACAACAGAGAAAUUAGACUACAAGAAAUAUGGUUUAGCACUAAAUAUAACAAGUAAGACAUAAAGUAAAGCACAAAAGCAUAUCCAAAUUUAUAGAAGUAGAUGAUAAAUUAUGUAUGCAAGGUUAGGGGAUAAGAGCUAAAUGGUUCAGCCUGUAUUAAACAUGCUUUUUAUAAGAAAAAUUUACUUUUCUCUAAGUUAGCUUACCCACAAUUAAUAAAUGAAAAAAGUUUACAUAUGUUAGUCUCUAGAACUUUUGUUUUAUGUGGCACUUCAACAAGAGUUUUGUUAGUAAACAUGGGUGCUGUGUGCUAAUGCAAUGAAGUAUUUAUUUUCUUCAUAUUAAACUUGAUUGAAGGAAAUUCUGGGAGUAAAUAUCCCUGGAAGCUUCCAGAGGUCCUAGAAUUUUACCAGGUGAACAUUUAGGUUUUAGCCCUGAAUCAAGUUCCCCCUCAUCUCACCGCUAGGAAAACAACUCUUUGGAAGGAGGUUUUUCUUGGCUGGUGUUCCCCAAAGGCAUGAGAGGCAAGGGCAAAUAAGUAUGUUUCCUGGGUAGUAUUGCAGUCUGUCAGAGUCCAUUGUCAACACAUCUGGGUUCUCCAAUGUUCUUUACACAGCCAGCAAGAAUAUGAUCACUCACUGUUGUUUCCUCUCCCCUUUGAUUUUUUAAUGGAAAAAGAGUUCAUUUCAGUUGACUUUACUUUUUAGAAACUUCAUUUAAUGCAAUGAGCGGAAUAAUUAAUGUAAAAAGUGGCCCACAACAUUUUUCUUUUCUCUCUUAUCUGCUUGGGAGAUCACUGCUUAUCUCCCCUAAUGCUUAAUCAGGGUGAGAAUAUUCCUUACAAUCAAUAUCAGUUUCUUACAUUGCUUAUGAAGUCAAUGUCUGAAAUAUGUGAAGGGGAUUCCAAUGCAAUAAUAAAAUGCGCUCCAUCAAGAAUCUGCUUCCCAAGUCCCCUAUUGCCCUGACUUAUGAUUUGCUUAGCUCUGUUAAUAUCACUCCUUCAGGUUUCUUUUUCUUUAUGAUUGGAUAAAAAAUAUUUUAACCUAGUAGUAUACAUAUAUUUUAAGGAUAUUUUGCAAUUCUUAUUAAUAAUACCACAUAAAAAUAAUUCACUCUGUAAAAUAGAACACAUGACCAAAUGGUCAUUAGAUAAGUGGUUUAUGCUGCACUUGAAUUGCAGUCUGAGGAGGCUUUGGACUUACACGUACUAUAUAAGGAAUUGUCAGACAAUUGUAAAAAAUAACAAGCAUUUUUAACAUGCAAAGAAAUCUUGAAAUACUAAAGACUUCACUUCAAGUAUCAAUCACAAAAUGUCUUCUAUGUUUCAUUAUGAUGCUAUUAAGUGGUCUUUAUGGAGGAACAAGCUUCUGGAAGACAUGUGGAUUGUGAACUGGGCAGUGAUUUAUCUAUUGACCAGACGCAUAAUAUAAGACAAAUACCUAGAGAGACACAUAUAUGGAUAGCAGUGUGAAACUAAACUGUUUUUACAUGGCCUAUUAGAUGAUAUUAGUAAGACAAUGUCUUAGAAUAAUUUUGUAGAAAGCUUGAUUCAGUUUUCUCAACAUAAAGCUUUUUUUCCUUAUCCAUACCUUUAUUUUGCUUUUUUUGUUUUCUAUUGUGCUGUGAAACUGUCUGGGUAUGGCUAAUACUCGAAACCCUGUUAAAUAACCCUCUCAUGAAAUGGUUUUGGUUUUAUCAAAGGAAUGGUCUAAACCAACAUAUAAAAUAAUUGGUAUACCACUUGUUAAAAAAAAAAACACUAUGAAAUCUUGAAGCUAAAAUAAAGUGAAUUAUAAAAAUAAUUUUCUCCAAAAUAGAAAAUUUUAGUAGUCAGUUUUAGUUCAUUAAAAGCUAAAUUUAUUUAGUUUAUUGUUGAAACAAAAUUAAAUAAUUCAUUUCUUUCGACAGAAUGCUUAAAUUUCUUUAUAUUCACUGAGGUUUUAUUUGUUUCUGUUUUCUAGUCUGGUCCUUUUGGUGAUAAAAGCUGACAACCUAAUAUUGUUCCCUUUAGGAAAAUAUUAACUUUUACACCACUGAUGUGGCACUUACUAGGGAAUGUGGAAAAAGCUAGCUAUUUAAUUAAAAGUAACUCAUAAAAAAGUUAAUUCUCUCAAAGUGUGGGUCUACUUAAAAGAAGUGUUUACGCUCCAAGUGGAUCAGACCAUAACAAUUGUGGAAAAGAAAACUGUUUACUUAAAAUAUGAGCACAUUUUAAGAGAAUAACUACUGUAAACCACAACUUAGUGGUAAAUUAGGUAACGCUUUUUGUUAGCUAAGUGACAUUUCCCUUGCAAAUCAUACUGUUUUAAUAUGGCUAUUUUGCUUCAGUUUAUCUAUAAUUCCUUUGGCAUUAAGAAAUCAGCGAACUCAGUGUUUCUCAAAGAGCAUACCACAAACUGUACCCAAAUUCCCUCAAUUUAUAAACCACUCCUUAGAUUUAACAGAAGCUUCAUUAACUGCUGGAAAAACCUCUUGAAAAAAUUAGUGAGUUGUUGAAAAACUAACUUGAAAGCAGGGAAGAAAUCAAAUAUAUGGGAAGCAAAAGUCCAUGACAUUUUUUAAAUCCUCUUAGAAAGUAAUUAGAAUAUGCUGCUCCUUUUCCCCUAUAGAGAUAACAUGGAGAAAAUCUAAUCUAGAGUACUUGCAGUCUGCAUCACAUGCAGCAUGACUUCCUGGGGUUUAAUGACUUAAUUUAGAUAAUCAAAUUGGAUAUGCAUUCCUAAUUUCUAAAUAGCAUCCAAUGCCUGUAAGAAUCAACACAAAAUUUAGAUGUAGGAACUUAUCUGUAGGAGCUGCUACUAUCUCUUUACUAUCCUAUAUCUUUCAGCACAUGAGAAUGAACCAACCUGGUAAUCACAGAUUUCAAGACUAACUAAAUGAACAAAGGAAACCCACACAAAUAAUAAAGGAAGUAACAAUCAAGCUAUACUCUUGAUUAGCAGGGAAUCAGUCCACAAAAAUUAGUGGAUGAUUUGUUGGGUUUUUUUAUGCCAUUUUGUUUUUCCUUAUGGAAGUGAAUUUUCAUUUUGUUCUCUUUGGGUUCUUUGACAUUCUUAGAGACAAAGAAAUUCAAAACACAAUUCUUUCUCAGUUACUCGGAAAUUCAAGUUUAUUACUGCUUUGCAAAAAAAAAAAAAUCUGUGUGACUGGUUGGUGAUAAGUUAUGUGACAAUAAACAGAGUGUGAAAAUGAACAGCACCAAAUGCCGCAUGUUUAAUACAUUUGAAAUUAGUUACAAUUGCCCUUGGUUUGGACUCCGGUGGAAGAGACUGCAGGAUGGCAAAAUGAGAGGUUUAUUUAGCGUCUGGGAGAAGCUUAUAAACGAGCUUAAGUCCUCAUUCCUUCUAACAUCUUAACAGCUGUACAGUUUCUUACAAAAUAUGUUUUAUCGUUUCAAGAAAUGCUGUUAACCUCGCAGUUUUAAAACUGAAUGAACAAGGCCUCUUGGACAAAUUGAAAAACAAAUGGUGGUACGACAAAGGAGAAUGUGGCAGCGGGGGAGGUGACUCCAAGGACAAGACGAGUGCCUUGAGCCUGAGCAACGUA